rnacentral:rRNA from 1 species
UACGAAGGGUGCAAGCGUUACUCGAAAUUACUGGGCGUAAAGCGUGCGUAGGUGGUUUGUUAAGUCUGUUGUGAAAGCCCCGGGCUCAACCUGGGAAUGGCAAUGGAUACUGGCAGGCUAGAGUGCGGUAGAGGGUAGUGGAAUUCCCGGUGUAGCGGUGAAAUGCGUAGAGAUCGGGAGGAACACCAGUGGCGAAGGCGGCUACCUGGACCAGCACUGACACUGAGGCACGAAAGCGUGGGGAGCAAACAGG